GCGGAGGAAAAGAAACCAACAGGGAUUGCCUCAGUAACGGCGAGUGAAGCGGCAACAGCUCAAAUUUGAAAUCUGCCCUCUGGGUUGAGUUGUAAUUUGUAGAGGAUGCUUCGGGCGCGACGCCUUCCGAGUCCCCUGGAACGGGGCGCCAGAGAGGGUGAGAGCCCCGUACGGUUGGACGUCUAGCCUCUGUGAAGCUCCUUCGACGAGUCGAGUAGUUUGGGAAUGCUGCUCUAAACGGGAGGUAAAUUCCUUCUAAAGCUAAAUAUCUGCCAGAGACCGAUAGCGCACAAGUAGAGUGAUCGAAAGAUGAAAAGCACUUUGAAAAGAGAGUCAAACAGCACGUGAAAUUGUUGAAAGGGAAGCGCCUGCGACCAGACUUGCGCCGGGCCGAUCACCCGCCGUUCUCGGCGGUGCACUCGGCCCGGCUCAGGCCAGCAUCGGUUCCCGCGGGGGGAUAAGGGCGGCGGGAACGUGACUCCUCCGGGAGUGUUAUAGCCCACCGUGCGAUGCCCCCGCGAGGACCGAGGACCGCGCAUCGCGAGGAUGCUGGCGUAAUGGUCGUCGGCGACCCGUCUUGAAACACGGACCAAGGAGUGCUGGCGUCCUGCGAGUGUACGGGUGUGAAACCCGCACGCGUAAUGAAAGUGAACGUGGGUGAGAGCCUCGGCGCAUCACCGACCGAUCCUGAUGUCCUCGGAUGGAUUUGAGUAGGAGCAGGGCGCCUGCGACCCGAAAGAUGGUGAACUAUGCUUGGAUAGGGUGAAGCCAGAGGAAACUCUGGUGGAGGCUCGCAGCGGUUCUGACGUGCAAAUCGAUCGUCAAAUCUGAGCAUGGGGGCGAAAGACUAAUCGAACCAUCUAGUAGCUGGUACC
rnacentral:rRNA from 1 species